CCUUAUGACAGGUCACAGAUACUGAUAGGACAGGCCUAUGACAGGUCACAGAUACUGAUAGGACAGGCCUAUGACAGGUCACAGGUACUGAUACGACAGGCUUAUGACAGGUCACAGGUACUGAUACGACAGGCCAAUGACAGGUCACAGGUACUGAUACGACAGGCCUAUGACAGGUCACAGGUACUGAUACGACAGGCCAAUGACAGGUCACAGGUACUGAUACGACAGGCUUAUGACAGGUCACAGGUACUGAUACGACAGGCUUAUGACAGGUCACAGGUACUGAUACGACAGGCCUAUGACAGGUCACAGGUACUGAUACGACAGGCUUAUGACAGGUCACAGGUACUGAUACGACAGGCUUAUGACAGGUCACAGAUACUGAUAGGACAGGCCUAUGACAGGUCACAGGUACUGAUACGACAGGCUUAUGACAGGUCACAGGUACUGAUACGACAGGCUUAUGACAGGUCACAGGUACUGAUACGACAGGCCUAUGACAGGUCACAGGUACUGAUACGACAGUCUUAUGACAGGUGCUGAUACGACAGUCCUAUGACAGGUCACAGGUGCUGAUACGACAGUCCUAUGACAGGUUACAGGUGCUGAUACGACAGUCCUAUGACAGGUUACAGGUGCUGAUA